GACGAACGCUGGCGGCGUGCUUAACACAUGCAAGUCGAACGGAAAGGCCCUGCUUUUGUGGGGUGCUCGAGUGGCGAACGGGUGAGUAACACGUGAGUAACCUGCCCUUGACCUUGGGAUAACUUCAGGAAACUGGGGCUAAUACCGGAUAGGAGCUCCUGCUGCAUGGUGGGGGUUGGAAAGUUUCGGCGGUUGGGGAUGGACUCGCGGCUUAUCAGCUUGUUGGUGGGGUAGUGGCUUACCAAGGCUUUGACGGGUAGCCGGCCUGAGAGGGUGACCGGCCACAUUGGGACUGAGAUACGGCCCAGACUCCUACGGGAGGCAGCAGUGGGGAAUAUUGCACAAUGGGCGGAAGCCUGAUGCAGCAACGCCGCGUGCGGGAUGACGGCCUUCGGGUUGUAAACCGCUUUCGCCUGUGACGAAGCGUGAGUGACGGUAAUGGGUAAAGAAGCACCGGAUAACUACGUG
rnacentral:rRNA from 1 species